UACGGAGGGUGCAAGCGUUAUCCGGAUUCACUGGGUUUAAAGGGUGCGUAGGUGGGUUGGUAAGUCAGUGGUGAAAUCCCCGAGCUUAACUCGGGAACUGCCAUUGAUACUAUCAGUCUUGAAUACCGUGGAGGUCAGCGGAAUAUGUCAUGUAGCGGUGAAAUGCUUAGAUAUGCGGAGGAACACCGAUGGCGAAGGCAGCUCACAAAACUGUUACUGACGCUGAGGCACGAAAGCGUGGGGAGCGAACAGG
rnacentral:rRNA from 1 species